ensembl:lncRNA
UUCUGUCACAGGCACUUUGUACCUCCUGCAAGCAAGAUCUAGAAAGUCACCCAGAAAGGAGUCCUGUGGUCUUCAUUUAACUUGAAACGAAUGCUGCCCUUCUACACGUAUAUUUUUCCUACUACCUUGGGCUUCGAACUCCACAUAUGCAACUCUACUUCACCCAUUUGAGUAUUCCAGCUCCUGUCAUUAACAGAUAAGCAUUUCAUUCUUAAUGAGCAGGUAGGGAAGACAGAAAAAGUCUUCAGACUAACUGGCAGCAUCGGUAUUUUGUGGACUUCGUUCACUCCCUAUUUAGGGGCAUUUGGGUGCCCCUAAGUAAUGCUGAGUUCUACCUCAUACAAUUAUUGAAACUGAACUUCCAAUUGAGAAACUGUUGCAUUUCAAUUUGCUUUUGUCACAUACUUUUUUUCAAAGGCUCUCAACAAGAUCCUAAUACCUGCCCAAACUUCAAACACUUCUGCAUAUUAAACUUCAACUGCUGCAGAAGGAAUUCUGCCUGAACUCUGCUCCAAAAACACAACAAAUCACCUUGAAUGUAGAAUUAAAGUAAAAAGAAGUAUAAAUUACUCAAACAAAAGAAGGGGAAAACACAGACAGAAGAAGAUGAGGCUGCAUGCAGUAUAAUUAGCCAGAAUGUUCAGAGCAAUAUCCCCUCUUUCAAGGAAUACCAAGGGACCUCAGCAACUUCGACCAUCUGCUUUUGCUGUUGCAGUUGGCACAUGUGCACCUGGCUUAGAAAGCUAAAUAAGAUACAAACGAACAUGUAUAUCAGUAAUAAGACCUAUGGAGAAUUGUAUUUGUGGAAAAUGGAAAUAAAGAGUUAACGGAGAAGAAAAGGCAGGAUGGUUUUUCUUCCUUCUAACGCUUUAACCAACCAACUCCAGGAGAGGGAUUUGCAGGCAGGCAGUUGCUCCCUUCAGCCAACAGCUCAUCCAGUUGAGAGCAGAUAUUCUCAUUGGAUGGCUCAUCCACAGAGCUGACAUUUCCUAAGGUGGAACACUGUGUCACUAGCACAAGAUGGCAGUAAAACAAGAAGCUCGGAAACAAUGACAAUCUGCCAGCUUAACUCUGGGAAUAACAAGACUUCGUCUCUUCCUCUCCACCAGAGCCAGCAAAGCUGCUCUUAGCUCACACCACGCAUUUCCCUGGAUGAAAUGCAGAUGGACAGAGAACUGUACAAAUCAUAGUGAGCCUAACACAUAAUUACCUACUGCGAGGACCAGAGGCAGCCCAGAUAAUUCAAAGCUACUUACCAAUUCCACCACCAAAAA